CUUCACCAGCGUCUGGACAGCUCCUCCACUCCCAUAGACCUCCUAGGUAAGUACAAAGUAACACACAAGUCCCUGAGGGCACAGGUAAGUAACAGAGGUAAGGAUGUAGCAAGGUAACUAGGUCAUUCCCCUGGAUGUACACCGGUGUAUUCGAAGCGAGUAACUUUUAACUCGUAGCACAGAUAGGUAUUGAGCAAGGUGACUGACUCUUCACACUGGGCUUACAGGGCGUAUUCAAGGUCAAUAGCUUUUAGCGCGUGCAGACAGGUAUGUAUUCAACAAAGUGACUGUAUCUUCACGCUGGGCUUACAGGGCGUAUUCAAGGUCAAUAGCUUUUAGCUCGUACAGACAGGUAAGUAUUCAACAAAGUGACUGUAUCUUCACGCUGGGCUUACAGGGCGUAUUCAAGAUCAAUAACUUUUAGCUUUCCCCACAAUAUCCACACAAUACCUUGUUUUGCAUUCACGCUUCACCUCCUUCAGGCUAGGUACGGGGAACGGAGUUAUAGGCGGGCGUAGGUGGGAUAGGUGGGCAUCGCCACGGCAGCCUACGUUCUCUCCAACAGGAACUUUUCUCGGCCUGGAGGGCGAGUACAGACAACAGGGACACGGCACAGCACUGCAAAACUUCGGUGUACACACGUCAAAGACAGACUCACCCACUGCACUACACACACUUCAGUGACUUUUAAGGUCGGUACUCCACGCCCGGUCGGAUUUCGUCCUGGAGGAGUUUACAGUCGCUGGCACGGUAAGUGCUCCAAACUUUACGGUGUGGCCACAGCCAAAUAACAUCCAUUCACCCCCACUCUACUUCGGCUCACCCACUCGUCUCGUCCUCCACGAUGGGGCCACUCAACAAGCUGUUAAUCACUCCAGCAGAUAUUAGUUAUCCAUAUCCAAGUAUGAGCAAUGAUAUGUAAACAAUCCAAUGUACU
ensembl:lncRNA